AACUAGGCAUAGCCCACAAAUCAAAUCCAAUAAAACUAUCUUAACUACAAUAAAUUAAAACAUUCAUAAUAAUAAAAGUAUGGGUGAUAGAAAUUAUAUUAAGGCGCUAUAGAGAAAGUACCACAAGGGAAAAGUGAAAGAAGACUAUAAGUGAAAAAUAGCAAAGCUUAACUCUUGUACCUUUUGCAUAAUGACUCAGCUAGAAAAUAUUAGCAAAAAGAAUUACAGUUAAGUAACCCGAAACCAGACGAGCUACCUACUAGCAGCUCAACAGAGCGAACUCAUCUAUGUUGCAAAAUAGUGAGAUGACUAUUAGGUAGAGGCAAUAAACCUACCGAGCCUGGUGAUAGCUGGUUAUCCAGAACAGAAUUUUAGUUCUAACUUAAGUUUACCAAAAACAGACAAAUUAAAAUGUAGACUUAAGCAAUAGUCUAAAAGGGUACAGCCUUUCAGACGCGGGAUACAACCCCCAUUAGAGAGUAAAAAAAAAUAAAUCACAAUAGUUGGCCUAAAAGCAGCCAUCAAACAAGAUAGCGUUCAAGCUCAACAGUACAUAACACUAAUCCUACUUAUAAUAAUUGAUGCUCCUAGUGCAAAACUGGAUUAUUCUAUUACCAAAUAGAAGCAAUAAUGCUGAUAUGAGUAACAAGAAGCAUUUCUCCCUGCACAUGUGUAUAUCAGAACGAAUAAUUCACUGAUAAUUAUCGAGAUAAAUAUACCUAUCAACUUAAACCUUUAUCAAAAAUCGUUAGCCCAACACAGGAGUGCGCCCAAGGAAAGAUUAAAAAAAGUAAAAGGAACUCGGCAAACAUAAACCCCGCCUGUUUACCAAAAACAUCACCUCUAGCAUAAAAAGUAUUAGAGGCACUGCCUGCCCAGUGACUACAGUUAAACGGCCGCGGUAUCCUGACCGUGCAAAGGUAGCAUAAUCAUUUGUUCUCUAAAUAGGGACUUGUAUGAACGGCCCCACGAGGGUUUAACUGUCUCUUACUUUUGAUCAGUGAAAUUGACACUCCCGUGAAGAGGCGGGAAUUAAAAAAUAAGACGAGAAGACCCUAUGGAGCUUUAAUUAAUUAACUUACAAGUUAUAGCAUUAAUCUAUAAGAGACAAAUUAAACUUAAUUAAGUUAACAAUUUGGGUUGGGGCGACCUCGGAAUAAAAAUUAACUUCCGAGAUAGAUAUACUAAGGCCUACAAGCCAAAGUUGUCUUAUCACAUAUUGAUCCGCCAACAGCGAUCAACGAAACAAGUUACCCUAGGGAUAACAGCGCAAUCCUAUUUAAGAGUCCAUAUCGACAAUUAGGGUUUACGACCUCGAUGUUGGAUCAGGACAUCCCAAUGGUGCAGCAGCUAUUAAUGUGUUCGUUUGUUCAACGAUUAAAGUCCUACGUGAUCUGAGUUCAGACCGGAGCAAUCCAGGUCGGUUUCUAUCUAUUCAUAAGUCCCUCCCAGUACGAAAGGACAAGAGAGACAGGGCCUACUUAAAAUAAGCGCCCUAACAACAAUGGAUGAACUAAUAUUAAUCCUAUAUACCUAUAAACUGCCCGAGAAAAGGGCCUA
rnacentral:rRNA from 1 species